CGGGGUGGAGUAACGCGUGGGUAACCCGCCUUGUACUGGGGGACGAACAGUUGGAAACGACUGCUAAUACCGCAUAAGCGCACAGCUUCGCAUGAAGCAGUGUGAAAAACUCCGGUGGUACAAGAUGGACCCGCGUCUGAUUAGCUGGUUGGUGAGGUAACGGCCCACCAAGGCGACGAUCAGUAGCCGGCCUGAGAGGGUGAACGGCCACAUUGGGACUGAGACACGGCCCAA
rnacentral:rRNA from 1 species